rnacentral:rRNA from 1 species
AUUGAACGCUGGCGGCAUGCCUUACACAUGCAAGUCGAACGGCAGCACGGGAGCAAUCCUGGUGGCGAGUGGCGAACGGGUGAGUAAUAUAUCGGAACGUGCCCAGUCGUGGGGGAUAACGUAGCGAAAGCUACGCUAAUACCGCAUACGAUCUAUGGAUGAAAGCGGGGGAUCGCAAGACCUCGCGCGAUUGGAGCGGCCGAUAUCAGAUUAGGUAGUUGGUGAGGUAAAGGCUCACCAAGCCGACGAUCUGUAGCUGGUCUGAGAGGACGACCAGCCACACUGGGACUGAGACACGGCCCAGACUCCUACGGAGGCAGCAGUGGGGGAAUUUUUGGACAAUGGGCGCAAGCCUGAUCCAGCAAUGCCGCGUGCAGGAUGAAGGCCUUCGGGUUGUAAC